CAGCAGUAGGGAAUCUUCCACAAUGGACGCAAGUCUGAUGGAGCAACGCCGCGUGAGUGAAGAAGGGUUUCGGCUCGUAAAGCUCUGUUGUUAAAGGAGAACGUGGGUAAGAGUAACUGUUUACCCAGUGACGGUAUUUAACCAGAAAGCCACGGCUAACUACGUGCCAG
rnacentral:rRNA from 1 species